AUUGAACGCUGGCGGCAUGCCUUACACAUGCAAAUCGAACGGUAACGGGCCUUCGGGUGCCGACGAGUGGCGAACGGGUGAGUAAUACAUCGGAACGUGCCCGAUCGUGGGGGAUAACGAGGCGAAAGCUUUGCUAAUACCGCAUACGAUCUACGGAUGAAAGCAGGGGACCGCAAGGCCUUGCGCGGACGGAGCGGCCGAUGGCAGAUUAGGUAGUUGGUGGGAUAAAAGCUUACCAAGCCGACGAUCUGUAGCUGGUCUGAGAGGAUGAUCAGCCACACUGGGACUGAGACACGGCCCAGACUCCUACGGGAGGCAGCAGUGGGGAAUUUUGGACAAAGGGCGCAAGCCUGAUCCAGCCAUGCCGCGUGCAGGAUGAAGGCCUUCGGGUUGCAAACUGAUUUUGUACGGAACGAAAAGCCUUCUUUUAAUACAGGAGGGUCAUGACGGUACCGUAAGAAUAAGCACCGGCUAACUACGUG
rnacentral:rRNA from 1 species